CCAGCAGCCGCGGUAAUACAGAGGGUGCAAGCGUUAAUCGGAUUUACUGGGCGUAAAGCGCGCGUAGGCGGCUAAUUAAGUCAAAWGUGRAAUCCCCGAGCUUAMCUUGGGAAUUGCAUUCGAUACUGGUUAGCUAGAGUGUGGGAGAGGAUGGUAGAAUUCCAGGUGUAGCGGUGAAAUGCGUAGAGAUCUGGAGGAAUACCGAUGGCGAAGGCAGCCUUCUGGCCUAACACUGACGCUGAGGUGCGAAAGCAUGGGGGAGCAAMCAGGAUUAGAUACCCUGGUAGUCCCAUGCCGUAAACGAUGUCUACUAGCCGUUGGGGCCUUUGAGGCUUUAGUGGCGCA
rnacentral:rRNA from 1 species